rnacentral:rRNA from 1 species
CCUACGGGGCACCAGUGGGGAAUAUCGGACAAUGGGCGAAAGCCUGAUCCAGCAAUGCCGCGUGUGUGAAGAAGGUCUUCGGAUUGUAAAGCACUUUCGACGGGGACGAUGAUGACGGUACCCGUAGAAGAAGCCCCGGCUAACUUCGUGCCAGCAGCCGCGGUAAUACGGAGGGGGCUAGCGUUGCUCGGAAUGACUGUGCGUAAAGGGCGCGUAGGCGGUUUAUGCAGUCAGAUGUGAAAUCCCCGGGCUUAACCUGGGAACUGCAUUUGAGACGCAUAGACUAGAGGUCGAGAGAGGGUUGUGGAAUUCCCAGUGUAGAGGUGAAAUUCGUAGAUAUUGGGAAGAACACCGGUGGCGAAGGCGGCAACCUGGCUCGAUACUGACGCUGAGGCGCGAAAGCGUGGGGAGCAAACAGGAUUAGAUACCCCUGUAGUC